GGUCCUUUCCUGGACCCAGCAGGGGGCUGUCGGGGUCGUGCUGACACAUAUUCUCGUGGGUGAAGCACAUUUGCUGCCUUUCUUUUUGUUUCUUCCAGAAUGCCUGCGUUUUUGGUGACCAUCAGCUUGUUCCUGCUUGUUCACUCUGCAGUGUCUACAGAAGAGUUACUGGCCUACCCUUUCACUGAUGUUACCCUCUCCUGCCAUUUCUCCUUUGUGAAAGACACAGAAAAUCUUGAGUUUUCAUGGAUAAGAGAAGACAUCAAAGAGGAAUAUGAGGUAGAGAAUGAUAAGGAAUACUACCGCUUUUUCAGGUACUAUGAUUUUUUGAUGUUUUCUCAAAGUUGGUUUACCAGUUUCGCAAUAACACAGAGCAACUAGAGGGCCAAAACUCCUUGUAUGAGGGAAGAGUCUCUGUGGAUCGGGCUGAAAUUUCUGAGGGGUCACUAUCUCUUUUACUACGAAAUGUCUGUUUCAUGGAUGAAGCUAUCUACACGUGCUCAGCCGUCACGCCAAAUGGAAGAGGUGAAAGUAAGAUUAAGUUAAUAGUAGAAGGUAAGAGAAUUUAUUGAUAAACUUGGUUUCAAGCUGUGUCUCUGUUCAUUAAGAAUAAGUUUUUGCUUCUGCUCAAAUUGUUACAGGCUCUUUUUAUUUCCACCAUGACAGUCAGGUGUUUGAAAUGUCAGUUCAUCUUAUAAAAAUAUUGCUCUGAACAAAAGGUGCUGUGUCCGCACAUGCUGACAUCAUUCAAACAAACAAAAAUUGGUCUCGUUCCUAAAUCUCCAAACAAAUUGUAAAACUGAGAAACCAGAAUGUGACAUAGCAUAGUAAUCCUACAUUAAAACUCUGAGAUACAGGGUGUGCUUUAGUGAGAAGAGCCCUGGAUGAGAAUCAGGAGGCCCAGGUUCUAAUUCUAGAUGACUCUGGGCAACUCAUUUAGCUUUUCUUGGCUUCACUUUUCUUACUAUUAAAUGAAAAUGGGACAGGAGUAAUGAUUCUCCACAGUGUUCCAGGGGUCUUCACCCUUCAUGAAAUUCCACAGAAGCUGUCCUCUCCCUACGAGAGACCAGAUGGGAGCAGGGAGUUGUGGCACAAUUUCUCCAAUUAAAGAGUGGGAAGACAUGGCAAGGUGGUGAGGCUGAUUCACUGUCUUCUCUGAUUCUUAGCAAAGUAUCUGAGGUCAGCAGAGCUAUGGAAUGAAACUUCCAAAAAGGGGAAGAUUCUGAAAAUAAAGACAGCAGUGAUAGGUGAGCCCAGGAGGGUAGAGGCACACAUGUAUUUUGUCCUUCUCUCAUUAUGUUUAAAUCAGAAUUUUAGCUGCAGUGAACCUCAAGAUGUGUUGCCUGAACCCACCCCCCCCCCCAAAAAAAAACCCAAACCCGUCACCACUGAGUUAAUUCCAACUCACAGCAACCCUAUCUGGCAGAGUAGAACUGUUCCCAUAAGGUUUCCAAGGAGCUGCUGGUGGAUUUGACCUGUAGACCUUUUGGUAGCCAGCGGGGCUUCAUGUGUUGCCUACAUAGGGGUUAAUGUAAAAACUCUGGGCAAGAUUUCUGCUAGCUUGAGCCUCCUGGGGCUGAAAUAAAAAAAGAGACUAAUUGUUUUGUUAUUUUUUUUCCAACCAGACUCUGAAAUGCCACAGGUGCACUUUGAUAGGCUUGAUGAUGAGGAUGUGGCUACGUGCAUCUCCAAGGGUUGGUACUUCACACCCAAUGUGACCUGGCUGGACCGGACAGAGAGGGACCUGAGCAACCACAGUACCGUGGAGGUCCUGGAGGAACAGAUGAACGGCUCCUAUAGGGUGUUCUCCGUCCUGAAAUACCGUGUCAAGUUAAAUGGGAAGUAUGUCUGCUGAAUAACAGAGACAGACGUGAACAAUCAGCCCUUCAGAAUCAUCCGCAAGUACCCAAGGAGAAAGUAUCCUUCUAACUACUAUUAAGAGAUCUGAAUGACAUCCCUCCACAGACCAAACUGUCUCCCCAGUGGAGCCACUGAAACUCCUGGCUUUUUCUUGCAAGCGAUAUUCUUUUUGUCUUAGGCACCUACCUGUCAGAAACAGAAAAAAAGGAGGUUAAUAGGUCUAGUGUGUUGGAUGUUGAGUAAAACAAUAGGAACCCCUAUAUUUUGCCUCUUAGGUCUGUAUGCUGAAGCCUAGUGUCUUUCUCUCUAAUACUGUUUUAUUUAUAAGAUUUAGUUUCAUUUGGCUUUAUACCUCUCACAUGUUAAAUUCUCUAAAUAAAAUUCCAAAAUGUUAACUCCAAAAGAGAAAGACCAUUAAAAGCCUGAUGAACAAUCUACUUUGCGUUUCA